UUAUCCCAGCUACAGUAAGAGUCCAAAAGAAAAUGGAUGAUUAUCAUUUGGAAGAAGAAGAAAUCUUUACAACUCCUGUUCUCCAGCAGUGUACACCACAUGGAUUCUGAAAACCACUAGCAGUGGAUGUUGACUGCCUACUGAGGGUUCAUGCUCAAGAGGUGUUCUCCUUAAGGUGGAUCAAGAGCAGAAUUGGAGCUAUUUUAUCUGGACCUAAUUAAACAACCGUCAUUACUGGCAGGCAGUAUUCACAUGUAUGGAUCCUCCCUCCAAUUUUACCGACAAGAAUCCAGUGAAGUGGACUGAGAAUAUAAUUGGCCCAAAGUCACCCAGCUGCUUAUGCCUAAACUAGGAAUAAAACUCAACAAUCUUCUGGUUUCUAGCUCAGAAUCCUGGCCCCUUCAUAAGACUGGAUCUCUAUGUUCUGCCUUAAAAUUUUUGUCUCCUAUUUAGGAAUGCUUAGAAACUGGUCCUGUAUGGAAACCAACUGACAUUGCUUUCCAAAGGUUGAACUAAUGCUUACUUCUAGAAGAACAGGGGUGGGGUGCGGAGCUAAUAAUUGGAACUGCUGACAAAAGGAAUUCAGGGUGAAAUAAAUGCCUGUCUACUGUCUAAGACCGUCAAAAUUAAACCCAGGAAGUAGAAAUUUAUUACCACCUGUCCUAGAGACAAAUAUGUAAGAUGAAUGUGCAGCCUACCAUUCAGGAUGACAUCUGAGGGAGGUUUAUUGUCUGUCAUCAGAGUUAUUGCAAAAAGAGGAACUGAGGCAGUUGCCCUAAUUCCAUCCUAGUUAUUGAGAAAUUGUUUAGGCACCCUAGAGGGUCAGGAUCCUAGAUCCUAUGGAAAUGUUUCUCUUCUAUUUAAACUGCCACUGACUGUUCUGCAGGGAAAGCCCCUUUCUCUUUUGAAGGACUUGGAAGAGUACCAGCAGGGUCAAACACCAGAAAAACUCCUUUAGCCUUAA